CCUGAUAAAUAUUACAUGGGUGCUUAGAAUAAAACAAUACUUAAGAAUGUUUAGAUUAAUGAUUUCUGAGAUCACUUGUUGGCUUGCUAAGUUUCCUUGUUCAAUCUGUAUAAAACCUUGAUAAAAACUUCAGUAAAUCGCAGCAGCACAACUUGGAGUGUGUCUGUCUGUCAUUUCCUUGCUGAAUCCCAAGUUCUCCUUGAGCCUUCACCCUUGUUCUCCCUCGGUCCUGAUCUCCCCGAGAGUCAGUCUGCGGCAGGUGGUGCCCGAACAGGGACCUGAAGGACAGGAUGCGGACUCUCCCAUCUGGAUCGCUGACAGGCUCAUCCGGCCACACUUUACGCAGGCGCAGGAGAUGGCUAAAGAGGAACAACAAACAGCUGCUCCGACAGAUGGAGAAACUGAAACUAAAAACAACACGGGGACAUGAUUUGACGUGGACGAAGAUAAGAACUCUCACUCGAGAAGCAAAAGAAUUAAUAAUCAGCUAGGGAAAAUCCCUGACUGCUUGCAUGUAUUUUGUGGCAUUUUUGUCUCUGCUCUUCGCACCAACUAAAACUCAAGGAAUUCCCUAUUGGGCAUAUGUUCCUAACCCCCCUUUGUUACAGCCUGUGGGUUGGUUGGAUCAAGAGCCUAUUAAAAUUUUAACCAAUGAUUCUGUGCGCAUAGGCGGAGCUCAAGAUUCGGAAGUCAGACUGAGUACCUCCUCUUUUAUUAACUUUGAGGGCAGAGCAGAUUCUUUACAAAUCUGCCUUGUGCUCCAAGGACGAGGGGUACCAGUAGGCUGUUUGCGCACCAGCUAUCGGACAUUCCUAAUGGACGCUCCAGAUAGAACAGAUCAUGCGCUGUGGCUACCGUGAAACAGAAAGUCUUUCAGCUUCAUUUUAAAAACAAAAAAGGAGGAACUGCUAUGUCCACGGCGACCUCGCCUGUGUAGCAAAGAUGCCUCUACACUGGAAGAGAGCUGAGGACAGAGGGCCAGCACUCCUCGGAAGGA